CGUUUAGGGGUAAACCUGAGAAACCCGAAAGGUCGAAUUGAGGGAUUCAAUCUCGUUUCGAAAUCGGCGUCGGACGGUCGUUUGACGCAGAACGGUUCGCCGUUUAGCGCUACUUCCGUUCGUUCGAACCGGUUGCGAACGAUUGCACUUUCCUCAUUGUAGGACGUCGCGAUCCGUUGGGUGUCGGUCUACGGUGUUCGGUGGAGAUCGUUCGGUUCGUCUAUACGGCGAUUCGGACGAACCCGAAUUACCCGGCCGGCUCGCUCGACGGUAUCGAUAACGGUUUGGGGCCGCUUUAACGAGCGUUCGGCUCGCGACAAGCGCGUCAACGGUUACGGCGAUCGGACCUAGUGCCGAUUCCGUUCCUUGACGACUGUUGGUCGCGAUGUUCUCGGACAGACCCUUUUUAAAACCGAUCAGCGGCGCUAAUGCUUUGGGUAAUUUCAGGACCCGUCUUGAAACACGGACCAAGGAGUCCAGCACGUACGCGAGUCAUUGGGAAUUAUUAAACCUAAAGGCGGAAUGAAAGUAAAGAUCGACCUAGCGUCGAUCGAUGGAAGACGAGCGAGCGUUUUUAUUAACGUCCGUUUUGCAUUCCAUGGGCGUCUCGUUCUCAUCGCGAGAAGAGGCGCACCAAGAGCGUACUUGCUGGGACCCGAAAGAUGGUGAACUAUGCCUGGUCAGGACGAAGUCAGGGGAAACCCUGAUGGAGGUCCGUAGCGAUUCUGACGUGCAAAUCGAUCGUCGGAACUAGGUAUAGGGGCGAAAGACUAAUCGAACCAUC
rnacentral:rRNA from 1 species